rnacentral:rRNA from 1 species
AUUGAACGCUGGCGGCAUGCUUUACACAUGCAAGUCGAACGGUAACAGGCCGCAAGGUGCUGACGAGUGGCGAACGGGUGAGUAAUGCAUCGGAACGUGCCCAGUCGUGGGGGAUAACGCAGCGAAAGCUGCGCCAAUACCGCAUACGAUCUAUGGAUGAAAGCGGGGGACCGAAAGGCCUCGCGCGAUUGGAGAGGCCGAUGUCAGAUUAGGUAGUUGGGGGGGUAAAGGCUCACCAAGCCAACGAUCUGUAGCUGGUCUGAGAGGACGACCAGCCACACUGGGACUGAGACACGGCCCAGACUCCUACGGGAGGCAGCAGUGGGGAAUUUUGGACAAUGGGCGCAAGCCUGAUCCAGCAAUGCCGCGUGCAGGAAGAAGGCCUUCGGGUUGUAAACUGCUUUUGUACGGAACGAAACGGUCCUGGUUAAUACCUGGGGCUAAUGACGGUACCGUAAGAAUAAGCACCGGCUAACUACGUGCCAGCAGCCGCGGUAAAAC